GACCCCUUAGCUCAGUGGUAGAGCGUGUGAUUCCAGCUUUGGGGAGUCCACAAGGCCGUGCGUUCGAUCCGCCCAGGGGUCA